AGUCCGUGUGAUGAUGUAGCACCGCUGGCAAAGGGUACGGCUGGAUGAGAACCAUGCAGGGGUGAGAUUCCCAUGA
rfam:Ruminococcus sp. CAG:9-related_41_34 Ley3_66761_scaffold_4291, whole genome shotgun sequence.